AAAACUUAUUGGCAUCCUUCUGUUCUUGGGAUGAAUGAGGUGUAGAUGAGAUCUACAGCUUAUGUAACUCUGGGAGGUGAUUGCCCUAAGAUAUGAUCAAGACCAGCUGGAUUGUAUGCAUUCAUAUUUUCCAAGGCUGGCCCUGCUGAAGAAAAACACUGCAGUGAAGAAUCCAUAAUAAGGAGAUAGCAUGGACAGCAUAUGGGACACCUUUGAAAGCUAAAGCAGUCCCUCCAAAUGUGGACAGACAUGAAGCUCUGGAUCACUAUGAGUCCAGGCACAGAUGAUCUUCUUUCUUCUCCAUGAGGGAUCACAGCCUGGCUGGUCUCUGAAGGACUCUCUCUAGGACUCUCUUCUGUACAUUGAUUGUAAUGACUCCUUUGUAGCCUCAAGCUGUGGGGCAAUAACAGGUUUCAAUGAUUCAAAUGGUAUUUGGGAGGUCAGCCUGAAGUAGUAGUAGUGAUCCACUCAGCUGUAUCAUAAGCAUAGCUUAAUAGAAAACUGAAGUAG
rnacentral:lncRNA from 1 species